UACGGGGGGAGCAAGCGUUGUUCGGAUUUACUGGGCGUAAAGGGCGCGUAGGCGGCCACCGCAAGUCGAUUGUGAAAUCUCCGGGCUUAACCCGGAAAGGUCAACCGAUACUGCGGGGCUAGAGUGCAGAAGGGGCAACUGGAAUUCUCGGUGUAGCGGUGAAAUGCGCAGAUAUCAGGAGGAACACCGGUGGCGAAGGCGGGUCUCUGGGCCGAUACUGACGCUGAGGAGCGAAAGCGUGGGGAGCAAACAGG
rnacentral:rRNA from 1 species